AUGACACCAAAAGCAUGCUCAGACUAUGUGAGGACAAGGGAAAGAGCUCUCCUCUGGAUUAUACUGCAAAUCAUUGACAGAAUUGGUGUUGGCAUAAGUGGGAGAGGUCUCCUGACAAUCAUCUGUAAGUCCCUACAUGCUGAAAUUUCAUUUUUCCUUUAUGCAUUUCUUUUCAUUUUCAGCUUUAAAUCACAGGGUUCUCACCCCACAAAACCCUGUUAGUGUCUCUGCACAAAACAGUGUCAUCCCUCUUAGUAUUUCUGUACAAAACAGUGUCAUCCCCCUUGAAACUUUU
rnacentral:lncRNA from 12 species